CAAAUGAAUUGACGGGGGCCCGCACAAGCGGUGGAGCAUGUGGUUUAAUUCGAUGCAACGCGAAGAACCUUACCUACUCUUGACAUCCAGAGAAUCUAGCGGAGACGCUGGAGUGCCUUCGGGAGCUCUGAGACAGGUGCUGCAUGGCUGUCGUCAGCUCGUGUUGUGAAAUGUUGGGUUAAGUCCCGCAACGAGCGCAACCCUUA
rnacentral:rRNA from 1 species